ensembl:lncRNA
AUUCAUUAUGAAAUGGGAUAACAUUAUAUGUUACAUUAUAUAUAUAUUAAUAAAAAGUUAAGUAAGAUAUUACAGAUAAGGGCUCAGAGGAUUGUAACUGAUAUUUCUGCUACUCAUUAUUGUUUAUUUAGGUUCAUAAAAUUUCCAUAUGAUCGUCUUUAUAGAUAUUAGGAAGGCAUAGGACACUAUAUGAACCUGCUUAAAUUUCGUAAAAUUUUAGUAGCCUAGAAAAAGAAGAGUUCUUCUUUAUUGAAUGACCUGGGGAAAUACUACUUCUUUAUCUUCAGAAUCUAGGGCAAUAUAUGACACUAAAGUAGUUUAACAUAUAUAAAUAUGUUAAAUCUAUAUGAAGUUAUUUUGAAAGGAAUGUGAUAAAAUAUCAUUAAAUGUUAAGGCUGAUAUUAGCCCUGAUUGAAUUUGAGGUUAAUGAAGAUUCCCUCAAAAUGACCUUAUUCCCCAAAUUCUUGAAAACCUAGUUUUAAAUAUUGAGUAUUUUAAAACAAGAGGGUCAAAGUUUGUUAGACUUUCAAUACCACGAGAUGCAUUUAACAUUUAACAUUCUUUAUGAAACAUCCUUCAUCUUUUACUCUUUACUCAUUUUCUGUUAACAAGGUCUCAGUUAAUAUAGUUAAUAUAGGUUGUGUAGGCGCCAUUCCUAGUGAAAUAACACCGUGUUCUAGGUCUUUUUUUAAGGUGUUGUUAAACUCUGCCACCAGAUGGCAGCAUAAGCUUAUCUAUCACAAUAAAAUUGUCUAACGUUUCCUUUAAUUAUUGGAAGCAUCGUUAAGAUAGUAGGCAUGGAAAAAAGCUUUCAAAAGUGUAAGAACUAACUUUGAAGGGCUGUGAAAUUGUAUACAAAUUUCAUAUGUUUGGGCCUUGGUACAGAAAAAGACUCCUAUCUCAGAGAUUCUUUAAAGCUCAUAGCACAUAAAAAUUAAAAAUCCCUAAACUACUCUAAAAUUCUUGUCAUAAUUGUGAAACUAAAACGUAAAGUGGGAAAAUAAUUUUCUUGUGAUAUGUAACAGAAUCACGGUAUACUUGUCCUAGAAACGUGGUUCAGAGAUUUUUUGUCCUUCAUCAAACAUUCUUAUAUCACCAUAAAUUCACCAUGCAAUUCCUUACAUCACCAUAAUAAUUUACAAAAUGGUUUUCUAACAUUAGUUGUAAAUACUUUUCCUUGUGUGUCCUUUACUGCUUAAAAAAAUAUAAAAUAAUGUAGUUUAAAAAAUUUUACUGCUAUUUUCAUUUUUAAAUACAUAUUGACCAUAGAUUGGAAUAUUUGGCAAAUAAUUUAUUUUUGUGUUUUAUGGUUUUUCAUACUUGAAUUUUAAUAUAAUUAUUUCAGAAUUUAAAAAUUGGUAGCACCAAUAAAUUCCAUAGGUGAGGUCACUACAUGUUUUGAAAUUUAGAGGGAGAAAUUGCUUGGAUUGCAGGUGUCAGAGGAAGCCUUUUGAUAGAGGAGGUCCUGUUUAAGCUAUUCUGGGGACUGGUUUGAAAACAAACACGGUGGUUUGAUGAAAGAUUCACAGGAGGGCAGCAUGGAUAGCCCCAUNGCAUUGUAUGGAAGUUUCCAGGCUAAGGGUCAAAUCAGGGGUGCAGCUGCUGGCCUACAGCACAGCCACAGCAAUAUGGGAUCUGAGCUGUGUCUGUGACCUACACCACAGCUCUUGGCAACAUGCCGGAUCCUUAACCCACUGAGCAGGACCAGAGAUCGAACCUGUGUCCUCAUGGAUACUAAUCAGGUCGUUUCCGCUGUGCCACAAGGGCAAUUACAAUUUUAUCGUAGUUUUUGUUAGAUCAGUAUUCAGCUGUAUCACUUUUCACUAUGCAAAAGCCACUUUUAUUUGAGGUAUGCAAUAUAUUAUGCAUAUUUUUCAACUAUGUCAUUUUUUUAACCAGGCAAAAGCUAAUUACAAUUGAGCCAUGCGCUAUAUAUACUGAGCCAUAUAACUUUUUUUCCUCACGAUAAUAGUCUUAGUUUUGUUUGCUCAAUUUUCUAUGAAAUAAUUUCUAAUUCUGUCUGGAAUUCCCAGUCAGUUAUAAUUUUAGAUGGAUCUGGUAUUCUGUCAGUUUCAUUUUCUUAAAGAAAUUUCACCUGGAGCCCUCUGAGCUGGUUUUUUUUCUUUCUUUUAUAAUGAUUUUUAUUUUUUCCGUUAUAGCCAGUUUACAGUGUUCUGUCAAUUUUCUACUGCACAGCAAGGUGAUCCAAUCACACAUACAUGUAUACAUUCUUUUUUCUCAUAUUAUCAUGCUACGCCACAAGUGACCAGGCAUAGUUCCCAAUGCUAUGCAGCAGUAUCCCAUUGCUUAUGCACUCCAGAUGCAAUAGUAGGCAUUAAUCCCAGACUCCCAGCCCAUUCUACUCCUUCCCCCUCCCCCUUGGCAACCACAAGUCUCUUCUCGAAGUCCAUGAUUUUCUUUUCUGUGGAAAGGUUCACUUGUGCCAUAUAUUAGGUUCCAGAUAUGAGUGAUAUUAUGUGGUAUUUGUCUUUCUCUUUCUGACAUAUUUCACUUAGCAUGAGAGUCUCUAGUUCCAUCCAUGUUGCUGCAGAUGGCAUUAUUUUCUUCCUUUUUAUGGCUGAGUAGUAUUCCAUUGUGUCUACAUACCAAAUCUUCCUAAUCCAAUCAUCUGUCAAGGGACAUUUGGGUUUUUUCCAUGUCUUGGCUAUUGUGAAUAGAGCUGCAAUGAACAUGUGGGUGCAUGUAUCUUUUUUAAGGAGAGUUUUGUCUGGAUAUAUGCCCAAGAGUGGGACUGCUGGGUCAUAUGGUAGUUCCACAUAUAGGUUUCUAAGGUACCUCCGUGCUGUUCUCCAUAGUGGCUGUACCAGCUUACAUUCCCAGCAACAGUGCAGGAGGGUCCACACCCCCUCCAGCAUUUGUUAUUUGUGCAUUUAUUAAUGAUGGCCAUUUUGACUGGUGUGAGGUGGGAUCUCAUGGUAGUUUUGAUUUGGAUUUCUCUAAUAAUCAGUGAUAUUGAGCAUUUUUUUUCAUGUGCUUGUUGGCCAUAUGCAUAUCUUCUUUGGAGAAAUGUCUAUUCAUGUCUUUUGCCCAUUUUUCAAUUGGGUUUUUGGCUUUUUUGCUGUUGAGUUGUAUAAAUUUGUGUAUUUUACAGACUAAGCCCUUGUCAGUUGCAUCAUUUGAAACUAUUUUUUUCCCAUUCUAUAAGUUGUCUUUUUAUUUUUUUUUAAUGUUUUCCUUGCUAUGCAAAAGCUUGUCAGUUUGAUUAGGUUCCAUUGGUUUAUUUUUCCUUUUAUUUCUGUUGCUUUGGGAGACUCACCUGAGAAAAUAUUUGUAAGGUUGAUGUCAGAGAAUGUUUUGCCUAUGUUUCUAGGAGUUUAAUGUUGUCUUGUCUUACGUUUAAGUCUUUAAGCUAUUUUGAGUUUAUUUUCGUGCAUGGUGUGAGAGUGUGUUCUAGUUUCACUGAUUCACAUGCAGCUGUCCAGUUUUCCCAGCACCACUUGCUAAAAAGACUGUCUUUUUCCCAUUUUAUGUUUUUGCCUCCUUUGUCAAAGAUUAAUUGACCAUAGGUGUGUGGGUUUAUUUCUGGGUUUUCUAUUCUGUUCCAUUGGUCUGUAUGUCUGUUUUGGUACCAGUACCACACUGUUUUCAUUACUGUGGCUUUGUCAUAUUGCCUGAAGUCUGGGAGAGUUCUGCCUCCUGCUUGGUUUUUGUUCCUCAAGAUGGCUUUGGCAAUUCUGGGUCUUUUGUGGUUCCAUACAAGUUUUUGGAUUGUUUGUUCUAGUUCUCUUAUCUGUUUACAUCUGGAGUAGUUUACCUUCACAUGUAGUAUUUUUGAUAUAAUAAUCUUCUAAAUUCAUGUUCUGUCGAUAAUACCAGUUGUAUUAUUAAUUUGUCUACCUUGUUAUUUAUUUAUUUAUUUAUUUAUUUUUAACUCAUUGGUUAUCAAAGAUAGCAUUGAUGUUGGUAAAACAUGAAAUCUGUAAUUAUAUGUGGCAUUUGGCUUCAGCUAGGAAUUGCGUGAGUUUGAAACAGAGUUUCCAAAAUCAAUCUGAUAUGAUUAUAAUAAAACAAAUAAAACGUUUUUCUCCUAAUUUAUCCUUAUUUAGCUAACAAUGUACAAAUUAUUUGCAGUACAGGUGAGUAUUCUGUAGUAGGUUUAGCAUUAUUUAUUUGUACCUUUCCUUCCAUUGCUGACUUUUCCUUCCCCAGUAAGUGAUUUAGGUGAAAGAAGAAAAUAGAUUUGAAGAGAAUGCAAAUAUACAUUGACAAUAACCUAAUUAUCUGUCUUUUGUCUUACAAAUGGGUUUGUUUUAUGACCUUGACACUCCAGAUUUAAUCAACAGUAAUUAUGUCAUUACAACUAGAAAUAAGAUACCUGGAAAUUAGGACUUCAUGACUUAAGAAAGUAAAUUUAAAAAUAAAU